rnacentral:rRNA from 1 species
UACGUAGGGUCCGAGCGUUGUCCGGAAUUACUGGGCGUAAAGAGCUCGUAGGUGGUUUGUCGCGUUGUUCGUGAAAUCUCACGGCUUAACUGUGAGCGUGCGGGCGAUACGGGCAGACUAGAGUACUGCAGGGGGAGACUGGAAUUCCUGGUGUAGCGGUGGAAUGCGCAGAUAUCAGGAGGAACACCGGUGGCGAAGGCGGGUCUCUGGGCAGUAACUGACGCUGAGGAGCGAAAGCGUGGGGAGCAAACAGG